rnacentral:rRNA from 1 species
UGCAAGUCGAACGGUAAGGCCCCUUCGGGGGUACACGAGUGGCGAACGGGUGAGUAACACGUGGGUAAUCUGCCCUGCACUUCGGGAUAAGCCUGGGAAACUGGGUCUAAUACCGGAUAUGAGCUCCUGCCGCAUGGUGGGGGUUGGAAAGUUUUUCGGUGCAGGAUGUGCCCGCGGCCUAUCAGCUUGUUGGUGGGGUAAUGGCCUACCAAGGCGACGACGGGUAGCCGGCCUGAGAGGGUGAUCGGCCACACUGGGACUGAGACACGGCCCAGACUCCUACGGGAGGCAGCAGUGGGGAAUAUUGCACAAUGGGCGGAAGCCUGAUGCAGCGACGCCGCGUGGGGGAUGACGGUCUUCGGAUUGUAAACUCCUUUCAGUAGGGACGAAGCGAGAGUGACGGUACCUGCAGAAGAAGCACCGGCCAACUACGUGCCAGCAGCCGCGGUAAUACGUAGGGUGCAAGCGUUGUCCGGAAUUACUGGGCGUAAAGAGCUCGUAGGCGGUUUGUCACGUCGUCUGUGAAAUCCUCCAGCUCAACUGGGGGCGUGCAGGCGAUACGGGCAGACUUGAGUACUACAGGGGAGACUGGAAUUCCUGGUGUAGCGGUGAAAUGCGCAGAUAUCAGGAGGAACACCGGUGGCGAAGGCGGGUCUCUGGGUAGUAACUGACGCUGAGGAGCGAAAGCAUGGGGAGCAAACAGGAUUAGAUACCCUGGUAGUCCAUGCCGUAAACGGUGGGCGCUAGGUGUGGGGUCCUUCCACGGAUUCCGUGCCGUA